UUUUUUUUUUUUUUUUUUUUUUGGCAGAAAGUUCCAGAAAUUUCUCUAUUCUCCCAAGAAUAGCUCCAGGCACUUUCCCAGUAUAAUAAAGAAGCAUUUUAUGUUAUGGGUGAUGGCCAGUUAACAUUCGUAUUUCUUCAGACGCAGUACAGCAUUCCUAUCAGCCAAGGGAAACACCUGCACAGCCCGAAUUACAACCAUGACCACUCAUCCCAUAAACAACUUACAGAAUCCAAAGGACAAAAACCACAGGUGCUGCAGAAAAACAGCUCCAUGUAAAUCUGCAAUAGGCAACUAUUGCUUCAAAGCAAACAAGAUUAUAAGGGUGUAAUUAGAACUAGGAAACCUGGCCACCAAUCCCAAGAACCUACCAUUAUUUUCAUAAUGUAUGGGCUUUGGACUAAACAUGACCACAGAUUAGAGCACUAAGGCAGAGUUCUUUGGAGAUAUUUGGUGGCUUACAAAUACCACAGAUUAUAUUUGUAAAAUAAUUAGCCAGACUUUCCAGCUUCUUUUUUCUUAGAAAUUUUAAAACAUAAAUUUGACCAAAGGGUAUAUACAGGCCUCAAGGCCUCCAAAAUACUACAUCAUUAAGCCUAAAUACACAUAUACACACAUGCCAGGAAUGUUUCAUUACAGGAAUCAGAGCAAAAAUAAUAACUAGAAACCAGUUAUUGUUUUUGAAAAAUGAUGUCUCCCAGAACACAACUUUUCAGAAGUCUUACUGAAUGAUGAUACAACGCAGUUGGUUAAUGGAGAACCAAUUACCCAGUGUCAUGUAUCAAAUGGAUGUUUUCUGUAUUAUCUGACUUUCCUUAGAAGAUCAGUGAUGCCCACAGAAAACUCACAUACACAAGGGGAAGAAAAUAAAUGCUCUCCUGCCACUGAGGAGGAUGGAAACAGGCCUUCUGAAGGACCCAGAUACUGUGAUAUAGAGAAUGAAGGAGAUGCGAGAGGACAUCACCAGAAACCACGUUCAGCCUGCGAGAGUCCAGGGAUGCGAUGCGGCUACUUCCUGGACUGCAAAGAAUGAGGAGUGAGUCAUACUUGUUAGAGGCAGUUUCACGGUUGGCAGAUUAAAAUGAAGCAGGUCUCUUAGGGGGCGCUGCCAACAAGGUGCAUCUCCAAAUAGUUUACAUAAAAUCUUUUAACUUUGGAGCCUUGGUUUAACAAAGCCUGUAUGGCAAAAAGAUACUGUCUCCUUCAAGUCAACUCAACUUUUGAAAAAAUGUUUUAAUGUUUGCUAUACUCACACCACGGUGUUAGGAAAUGCCCAGGAUUCAAAGAUGACCAAAAAAAAAAAAGUCUCCUGUCCUUAAAGCAGUUUUGCAAGAUAAGAGGAAGUUAGAUAAGGAGAUAAUCAGAGUGUCAGAAAGAUUGUGAUGACUACUGUAAUGAGAUGUAUACAUACUUGGGAAUGGUUUUUCAAACUGAUGACCCAAGCGUUAGACAGCCAACUACCUCAUCAAAACUUUAUGUCCAACAAGAUAUUGAGAACAACAACAAAAAAUCAGUCUUUUUAAAGGUAUGUAUCUUAAAUGUCUAUGAUCCAUGCCAGCUGUUAAGCAAGAAUUCUCCAUCAACUUCGCCUGGUGAAUUCUGCCAUUCACUGAGCAGUAGCAGAGUAGAUAUUAUUCUUAAUUCCAAAGAUAUAGCUUCUUGCUUAUUUACAAAGUCUAACUACUUAAAUGUUAUCAUCCUACUAUGAAACUUUAAUGAUUUAGAUUCAGAAUUCAUCAUUUUUCAUAUGUCUAUGAAAGUAGUGAGCCAUAAACCCAGUUUAGUGCCUAAAAGAAGCUGUGAUAUUACAAAUUUCUCUGACAAACAUUAUUUUUUAUGUUACUUAAUAAACCACUAAACCCAGUUUCCAUUUAAAAAUAUAAAUCAAACACAAAAUCUGGUGGUACAGAAUAAAGCAGGGAAUGGAGAAUGUGUUGUCAAGGACGAGGGACAUGAGCCACCAAUAAUUUACAGGUUUAUGGGUCUCUUGUUGUUCUUUUGUAGAAAACUGCAGCUCUUUGCUACCUAGACUAGUACAAUGAGUUGUGCAUAGUGGACGUGCUAAAACAAAAACAAAAUAAGUAGCCUGAGGUGACACCAUGCUUCCCGAUAGAUAUAAAAAUACUUAAUAGAUUUCAUCCAACUUAUAUUAUUGCAUACCAGCUUGAAAACAACUGCAGUACAAGAUGUAAGAAACUGAUAGCUAGCCAUUCUUCACAGGAAAUGAAAUGUGCAGCUAAGCAGUCCAAAUACUAAGGAAAAAGAAAGAAAAACUAAGUCAAACAAUACUCAGUUAUUACCACAGAUUUAAAAUAUAAAGCCCCAAGAAAGACACAGCUAACCUAAAGCAAUGAGGCCAACCGUUUGUUCCUUUAUUACAGAAGAAUAUGUCUUGUCUGAUCACGAAAGACAGAAAUCCGUUAUAAUGGGAAAGAACCAUCUCUCAUGUGAUCUUUAAUCCUCUUGUGAGAAUCAUCAAGAAUGAAACUUUAGGUGUAUUUCAUACUUAACAGAAAAGGAAAAACACACACAUGAAAAAACACAUAAAUAAGUGCACAACAGGAGGAAGUGUAUAUAAAAAACCUCUCCAUGUCAGAAUGAGUUAGAGGCAAGCCUGGAAUGAAUGCUCCAUAACUCAGGUUGGGAGAAACUAGACCUGUGAUUUUUUUUUUUUUUUAAGCUGGCCUCAGCUAAUCUAGGGUUUCUCCAUCCUGACACUAAAAUAUUUUGAUAUGAGCCAGUUAAUCCCUUGUUUUGAGAGGCUGUUAUAUGCACUUUGUAGUCUCUAUGGCUUCUACCAACUAGAGGCUAGGAGCACACUCACCCAUUUGUGACAAACAAAAAAACAUCUCCAGACAGUCAAAUGUCACCUGGGAGCCAAAACUGUCACCAUUGAGAACCCUCAUUCUAGCCCAAUGACAACAAGGUAAAACCCAAUAGCUUUCUCAAUGGCUUCACGGCCAUGGAUGCAAUUAGCCUAUCUCUGUCCAAGGUGCUCAAGUGAACCCACUAUGUUCUCUGCUCAAGAGGCAGUGUCUAGGCCAAGGCAAAGAGGGGAAAACAUCAAACCUCAUACCUUCCAAAAUGCUGCUGAAGACUGUCUUCUUCUGAGAGUGACAUUUUCUUUCUUUCUUUUUUUUUUUAAGGGUCACAGGUGUGGCAUGUGGAAGUUCCCAGACUAGGGGUUGAAUUGGAGCUACAUCUGCCAGCCCAUGCCACAGACACAGCAAGGCAAGAUAAGAUCCUAGCCAAGUCUGUGGCCUACACCACAGCUUAUGGCAAUACCAGAUCCUUAACCCACUGAGCGAGGCCGGGAAUCAAAGCCACAUCCUCAUGGAUCCUUGUCAGGUUUGUUACCACGGAGACAUGACAGGAACUCCUGAGAGUGACAUUUUCCAUUUGGACAUUGGGAUUUUAACAGAAGUACCUACAUAAAACAAAGUCUACUGAAUACACAUCUGGAUGACACAGAAUCUUUAGAAACCAACGGAAAGGAAAGAGAGGGAAAACAUUUAAUAGUCACCAAAAGCAAUCAAGAAAAUAAAAGAUCCAAGAAAUACUGGAAGAUUUACAAGAUGACUCAGAUAUUUUAAAGGAUAAAUUAUCAACUCAUUUGAUAAAUGUGCAUUGGACCCCUAUCAGGAUUCAAGGCAUGAGACACAAAGAUAAAGGAGAAUUGGGUCCUGCCAUUUUAGGGAGUUUAGGGACCCAUUAAGAUCUAAGCAUAUGAGUCCUUCUCAAACCAAGAAGUACGUUGAAGUCAUCUGGGAGAAUGUCUUCAAAUUACCAAUGGUCAGACUUACAUCUGGGCCAAUUAUACAAGCACCUGUACCCCCCAACAGUUUUUAAAAGACUUUGAGCUGGACCAUGGAGGUGGGUGGGGACUUGAACAUAGACAGGGGGUGGCCUGGGAUGGCAUUAUUAGCUGAAAUUACAAGAGAAAAAUCACCAGGAUCGAAGACCAAGGGCAUGUAACAGCAAAAAAUAAAAACAAGUGAUUCAAUUUCCUCUGUUCAGAGGUCUGAGAAGGGUAAUAAAACCUAGAAUAAGGUGGGUGUUAAACUGUGCAGAAAAUGGAGAACCUCGGAAUAUUUCUGAGAAAAGAAUAAAACUGUAAGUCAAAUAAUUAAUCUUUGAAAAACUCUUAAAAUAAAGGGUCUGGGGAAGAGACAAAGGCAAGUCAAGUUUCACGUCUAAAGCAAAAAGCCUAAAAUAAAGCACUAGCUCACUUGGUUAGCAUGGGAACUCUCCUGGCUGACUCCCUUUCAGGCUCAUCCAGGGUGUGUCAGAUUCCCUUAAGGGGCGGGGCUAUGCCUUGCAGUCAUCUUCUAAUUUGUUUUUCCUGGAUGCUCUCAUGGCUGCUCAUUCAGUUCUCAUCUGUACGCACACGGUUUGGAAAUUCUCCUCCUGAGCCCCACCUGGCACUCAGAGUGGCAGCACUAACUGCCUAUUAGCCUCCCUCCUUGGGCAUACCUCAAACUCACUAGGUCCAAAACUGGACUAAUGAUAUUCCCCAUGGAGCCUAGUGCUCUUUAUUUCCCUUUUCUCUGGAAAUGGAAAUGGAUAGGAUUACCCAGUCACAGGCCAGAUAUAUGCAAGUCAUUUUUGACACUCUUUAUCCCCCAACCCAGCCUACCAGAAGGUCCUGUGGCUAUGAGCUUGUAUGCAUCCCUCAGAGUCCUCCUGUGCUUGUCCCCUCUAUCAGCACCUCCUUAGCCCAACCCGCCAUCUUCCUUUGCUUGGCUGUUUCCAUAACACUCUUGACUUAGUGACUCAAAUUCACUAUUGCCCUCGCUAUGGCCAACUCCAAGUCACUAGCUCAAAUGCCAAAACUAACCACAUCACCACUGCACGUAAAAUCAUUCGGUGGCUUCCAUUCAUCUUAUGAUAAGUACGAAAUGCCUCAGCAGGGCCUGGCUAUCCUCUGAAGACAGCGAAGACAGCCACGAAUGACUUCUUUCAGCCCUGCACCUUUGCCCUGCUUGCUCCACCAAGGGGCCACUGUACACAGUUCCAUCAGUCAAGAGCUUGUUUUCCCUAUGUGGACAAUUAAACUCUAAAC
rnacentral:lncRNA from 1 species